GACGAACGCUGGCGGCGUGCUUAACACAUGCAAGUCGAACGGAAAGGCCCUGCUUGCAGGGUGCUCGAGUGGCGAACGGGUGAGUAACACGUGGGUGAUCUGCCCCUUACUUUGGGAUAAGCCUGGGAAACUGGGUCUAAUACUGGAUAGGACCAUGCUGUAGGUGGUGUGGUGAAAAGAUUAGUUUCGGUAAGGGAUGAGCUCGCGGCCUAUCAGCUUGUUGGUGGGGUAAUGGCCUACCAAGGCGUCGACGGGUAGCCGGCCUGAGAGGGUGGACGGCCACAUUGGGACUGAGAUACGGCCCAGACUCCUACGGGAGGCAGCAGUGGGGAAUAUUGCACAAUGGGCGCAAGCCUGAUGCAGCGACGCCGCGUGGGGGAUGACGGCCUUCGGGUUGUAAACUCCUUUCAGCCAUGACGAAGCCCUUGUGGUGACGGUAGUGGUAGAAGAAGCACCGGCUAACUACGUG
rnacentral:rRNA from 1 species